UUCGCAAUGCCCGAAAGGGUGACGAAGCGACGCCGCGUGUGGGAAGAAGGCCUUCGGGUUGUAAACCGCUGUCGGGAGUUAGGAAGUGCAAGAAUGUUAAUAGCGUUCUUGCUUGACUAAGGCUCCGGAGGAAGCCACGGCUAACUCUGUGCCAGCAGCCGCGGUAAUACAGAGGCGGCAAGCGUUGUUCGGAAUUAUUGGGCGUAAAGAGCACGUAGGCGGCUAUGUAAGUCGGUUGUGAAAGCCUUCCGCUCAACGGAAGAACAGCAUCCGAUACUACAUGGCUUGAGUGCGGGAGGGGAGAGUGGAACUUCUGGUGGAGCGGUGAAAUGCGUAGAUAUCAGAAGGAACGCCGGCGGCGAAAGCGGCUCUCUGGCCCAUAACUGACGCUGAGUGUGCGAAAGCUAGGGGAGCAAACGGGAUUAGAUACCCCGGUAGUCCUAGCCGUAAACGAUGGGCGCUAAGUAGAGGGGUUUU
rnacentral:rRNA from 1 species